rnacentral:misc_RNA from 1 species
UCUCCGUUGGUGAACCAGCGGAGGGAUCAUUACAGGACUCGCAAGACUCCUACAACCCUGUGAACUUAACUAUAAGCACGUUGCUUCGGCGGGUGUCUCGGAGGGGGUCCUCCCCCCCCGACACGCUAACCCCGCCGGCAGCCUGCUAUACUCUGUCUCUUUGCGUUGGCAUCUCGAGUACAAUCAAACAAGUUAAAACUUUCAACAACGGAUCUCUUGGUUCUG